rnacentral:lncRNA from 1 species
AUGUUUAUGCAUGACUAUUAAUAAGCGGCGUACUGAUAAAUCUCAGUCAGAGUAUGAGAGCCGUUCGAUAAAUAGGAGAGAAUAUUUGGAUUUUAUGAAGGGAGCGUAUCUAUGUCCAGUGACUGACCGUAUACAAAUUUCAUAAUGCAGCUGAUGAAAGAAUCAUUUUAAUCCAUCUCAACCCUUCAUCAGAAAAUCUCUUAAGGGACCACAUUGAUACAUUGUCCGUGAACUCCUUUCAUGAAAAGUAAGAAAUAAAAGUCAAAGUAUAACCUUUUUUCCUUUGAGCAAGCCAUAAUCAUUUAAUUGGAUGA